GAGUAACGCGUGGGAAUCUACCCUUUUCUACGGAAUAACGCAGGGAAACUUGUGCUAAUACCGUAUGAGCCCUUCGGGGGAAAGAUUUAUCGGGAAAGGAUGAGCCCGCGUUGGAUUAGCUAGUUGGUGGGGUAAAGGCCUACCAAGGCGACGAUCCAUAGCUGGUCUGAGAGGAUGAUCAGCCACAUUGGGACUGAGACACGGCCCAAACUCCUACGGGAGGCAGCAGUGGGGAAUAUUGGACAAUGGGCGCAAGCCUGAUCCAGCCAUGCCGCGUGAGUGAUGAAGGCCCUAGGGUUGUAAAGCUCUUUCACCGGUGAAGAUAAUGACGGUAACCGGAGAAGAAGCCCCGGCUAACUUCGUGCCAGCAGCCGCGGUAAUACGAAGGGGGCUAGCGUUGUUCGGAAUUACUGGGCGUAAAGCGCACGUAGGCGGAUUGUUAAGUGAGGGGUGAAAUCCCAGGGCUCAACCCUGGAACUGCCUUUCAUACUGGCAAUCUAGAGUCCAGAAGAGGUGAGUGGAAUUCCGAGUGUAGAGGUGAAAUUCGUAGAUAUUCGGAGGAACACCAGUGGCGAAGGCGGCUCACUGGUCUGGAACUGACGCUGAGGUGCGAAAGCGUGGGGGAGCAAACAGGAUUAGAUACCCUGGUAGUCCACGCCGUAAACGAUGAAUGUUAGCCGUCGGGCAGUU
rnacentral:rRNA from 1 species